AUUGAACGCUGGCGGCAGGCCUAACACAUGCAAGUCGAGCGGAGCGGCGGACGGGUGAGUAAGGCCUAGGAAUCUGCCUGGUCGUGAGGGAGAACGUCCGGAAACGGGCGCUAAUGCCGCAUACUCUCAGAUGAGCCUAGGUCGGAUUAGCUAGUUGGUGGGGUAAAGGCAUACCCAGGCGACGAUCCGUAACUGGUCUGAGAGGAUGAUCAGUCACACUGGAACUGAGACACGGUCCAGACUCCUACGGGAGGCAGCAGUGGGGAAUAUUGGACAAUGGGCGAAAGCCUGAUGCAGCCAUGCCGCGUGUGUGAAGAAGGUCUUCGGGUUGUAAAGUACUUUCAGCUGGGAGGCGUUACCCACAGAAGAAGCACCGGCUAACUUCGUGCCAGCAGCCGCGGUAAUAC
rnacentral:rRNA from 1 species